AUCUCCCCAUUCCUUCUUCUCUUACACCCCAAGUGUAAAGGGAGAGUGAACACAUGUACACACACUACACACAGACACACACACACACACACACACACGCACAGACACACCCAACGUUAUGACCUGUUCAAGAAUUAAUCAGUUGGGACUCAGCGCUCGAAACUUAACAUCAAUAGUUUGCAGCUAAUGAUGUACGAACCGCUGUUAGCCUAGAUGGACAUUUGACCCAGAGGCUGAGGAGCUGGAGGUCUCAUUGUGAUUUCAUUUGUGAUUCACAGCCCAAGUCUAGUGUAGAGAUAGGAGGUGCAGCUUGAUGGAUAAUAAAAGAAUAGAGGUUUAGACAAAGAAAAUAAUGAGAAAGGGAUUAUUUAGAAACCUGUUUUACCCUCUCCACCUCACUGGGUGGCCCCCAUCCUUUGGUGCAGACAUAAUUUGAAGAACCCAGAGCAUAUGAUUGGUAGUAAGUAAUCGAAUAAAUUCAUAGGAUGGGAGCAAGGCUCAGGAGCCUAUAAAAGAUUCAAGUCCUACUUCCCCUUAGGAGAGAGGUAUCCAACCAGUAUUAAUAUUUUAGAAAUACUAGAAGGUGGAAGAGGAGCCAUUAUUCAUCACUAGCACCUCCGUGGUACUAAAAUUAAAUAAUGGAUUUUUUUUUAAGACAGAAUUGCUAGAGUUGUGGAACUAUAAAAAAUAUUCCUCUCUUGGGGAUGUUGCAUUUUUUGCUUUUAUCUUUUCUUCUCCUCUUGAGAACAUUUUGAUUUACUUCUGUGAUAAGCUUAUAACAACUAAGGAACUUGGGAGGCGGGUUGAGCUAGGCUGGGAGGGAGGGGGUUUAGGCAGCUGACAAAUGAGCCUGUGUAAAUUUGUUUGGCUUCGAGUCAGGAAGCACCAGGACUGCGCAUGCAUUCAUUUACCACUGCAUAGCGUGUAUGCGAGCACAUAUGGGCUGGGGCCCUGGGCCCUGUAAUAGUGAGCGCCCACUGUGGUGUGCAGGCUUGGGGUCUGAGCAUGCUCGUCUGCUCAACAGGAUCCCUGCGAAGAAAACCGAGCUCUCCCCUUCCUAAUCCAGUGAAAGCCUUGAAGCACCAGCCCUGCUCCUCGAGGAGGCAUCUGGUCUAGCUGUGAGGAAUCACGCAGCCAGGGGUUGGCUUCACACCAGCCUCCGUGUUUCUGGAUUGGCUCAGCUGGUCUCAGAGGUUUCCAUGUCUGGCUCCGCCCCAGAGCUAGCUGCUUAACCCAGUUGGACCAAUGACUUUGCCUACUGAGUCUCACUUUCCCCACCCUUGAAAUAGAAAUAAUAGUAACUACCUGGCAAAAACAAACAAGCAAACAAAAAAACUACCAGAACUUUAGCAAGGGUGCCUGACAUUUAUGAGACCUCAGUGAAAGCAGUUAUUACCUAAGAUGCAACUUGAAGGUUUUUAAAAAUCCUCUUAAUUAUAAAGUUACUCUUCCUGAUAUUGACAUGCUGCCAUGUUUAGAUAUACUCAGAUGGUAAUUGUUAGUAUUUGCUGAGUGCCUACUGUUUGCCAGCCAUAGUACCCUGUGCUCACCAUGACCUUGGGAGCUCAGAUCUCUUACCCUCAUUGAACUGAAGAACUGACAUUCAGAUGGAUGAGAGGGUCACUCAAGUUCAAAACCAAGGACAUACUAGAGCCCGAGCAUAAGCUGACACCAAACCAUUAUCUAAACCACUGCACAGUGGAGGCAGGAGGGGUGGCUAUUGCUUGGUACACAGAGAAAUGGAGUUAAAGGGAAUGGGCGAGAAUCUUUGCCCAGCAAUGGCCCGAGAGUGGCUGAGUUAGGUUUAAACAGACAUCCAUGGAUGGUAUCUCAUUCCUUACCAUGCAGCACUGAUCCACACCCGUUGAGGACUGCUCCGAGCUUCAGCCUGAAGGGUCCAUAGCAACUGAGAAUGAGAAACAGCCUCAGAGUCUAUCUGGCAUGGGUCACCUCUACAGCACCUUUACCAGCGGGUGGUGUGGGCCUGGACACCACAGUGUCCAGUGGCAGGCUUCUCCAUCACCAGACAGCUCAUGCCAUCAGCUAAUGCUCUCCAACCUCACAAUGUUUCCCUCCAUUUAAGCUGAAAUCUAUCUGUUCAGUAACUUGUAUUGAUUGACUUUCCUGAAACAACAAAACUAAGCCAAUCUCCUCUUUUGCAGGUCUUUAGGUGAUGCCCAAAACUAUGCCCCCCCCCAUCUCUCUAUGUCUCCAAUCACUUAAGGGGCUUCACUGUGUUAAUCCUAUAUAGAACAGACCACCUUGGUUCUCCCUCAAAUACAUGCUUCCUUUAGGGUCCCUACGUCACGUAACCUCUACCCGUCCCCAUAUCCCUUGGAGAGAACACACCAUACAACAUGAUCUGUUAUGGAGUAAUCACCCACAAGACAGUUAUUGGACAGUUAUUUACCCAUGACUGUUUUAAAGGAUUAGUUACCAUAACCUGAGAGGAACCCACAAUCCAUACACAACCCCCACCAAGAGCCUUCCAUUUAUUGUGCAACUUAUGAAACCCUUUGCCAAAGUCUUUAUUGACUUGUAGUUUGUAUGAUCCUUUCUUGUUGGACUUCCCUUAGAAAAACCGUAUUUUAUAAAGAUGUUCACCCAAGUUGAUCUCAUUUCAUCCAUGAGCCUGUUAAUUUUCAGGAAGCACACCGCUCUACUCUUUAAAAUGCGUGUGUUUCAUUGGGAUCAUUUAAUUAGGCAAGCCACUCUAAAUGACUCUCGUAGGAAGAUACCAGAGUAUCUCUCAUAUCUCAAGCCCAAGAAGCAAAGCUGGUCUUUACCAGAAAUUGAUAAGCCAUUUUGAAAUCAUGAAAUCAAAUGAAAGCUAUGCAAGUUCAUUAAUUUGUGUACUUCUUUCCUUUCCUUUUUUACCAUGUGGUCUCUCAUUUCACUUUUUCUCUUUACGUAGCUUCUUUACUUAUUACAAAAUAUUUAAGUGUCUACUAUACAUCAUGCUCUGUUCACAGCCAUGAACAAAGACCAAAGUCCCUAAUAACAUGGAACAUUUAUUUUAAUGGUAAAUAGAGAUAGCAAACAGAUAACUAUGUCAGGUGAUGAUGGGUUAGUUCUAUGAAGGAAAACAAAGCAGGGUCAUUGACAUAGAGGAUAAUGUUGGAAGGGAAGCCACUUUUUUUUUUUAAUAAGGUGGUCAUGGAAGUCCUGACUAAAUAAAUGAAUAUAAUUAGAGAAGUCAGGGACAGUGAAGGAAUGAGUUAUACAGAUAUACACUUGGUAAUAGCCUGGUGAAUUAAAGCCAUUUGCCAGACACCACUGGGAAAGAGGACUGUGAUAUUUUGGUAGAAAAAUAUAAUUUAAAGAUGAAGCCUGAGGCAUAAAAUUAAGUAAUGCCGAAGAGGAUAAUUCACCAUCUACAGGGCUUGAGCCCAAACUGGCUUCAUAUAUACACAGAUAUCCACUGUCUUCCCUUUCUGUUUUCCAAGUAGACCAUGUUCUUUGUCAAGGUCUAUACUUAGGGUCUGAAAGGGCCUCCCCAAAAUGGUACACUUGGCUUUUAUCCUGAUAAGACUUUCAGGCUCCACAACCCUUGCUUAGCUAACCGACUCAGUCUCUUCCUGUCCCAACACCAGGCUUCCUAAGGAGAUUAUCUGAUUGGCCAGGCUCAGCUUUUGGAUAGGAACCUUUUGGUUCAUCGGAGAGUAACCCCAGGGCUGAAACAGGGGUAGGCCCAAGAAAGGCAUUUUGGAGGAAAUGGCAGAAAAACAGGAUAGGAGGAUAUGUGUGGACAAAGCAACAGUUGAGGCUGAAGAUAGGGAUGGGUUGUAAAAUGAACUACUGAAGGAGCCUGAAUUUUCUCUGAAAGUGAAAUCUUUCCCAGAAAGAUUUCAAUCAUAUGUGACCCAAUUGUGAGAGACAGUUACUGCUUCAGGGAAUGAGGAACUUUGAAGGCAUGCACAGGUCCUUGUAACCAAGGUGCAUGUGAGGCAGAAUAGAAUGCCAGGCUUUCAAUUGAAAAUGAUUGAAAUUUUAUUUAUAUUUGACACUGCUUGUGUUUCCAAGCAUCAGACUUAACAUUAAAAUUUGUCCUGAAUUAUAAGAAUAAUAAGAAUAAGUAUUGAAACUCUUGGCAAAAGGGCAGCCAACAUGCAUUUCCAGGGAGAAAUUGUUCAAUUGUUCGUGUUUAUUACUUCCAAACGGGAAUCGCUCCAGGUUCAUAAUGCUGAUUUUGUUACAUUGCUGUCUCUGAACUGUGGUUCAGAUGAGUGCAUAAAUAUUUGGUUUAAUAUUUCUUUGGGAACUGUAAAAAUCUGAACUGAUGGAAAGGAGAGGAGCAGAGCAAUGGCGAGGGAAAGUUGGUAAGAGAAUAAGUGUGUAUAUUUCAACAGUGCCCAAGGGGCAUGAUUAAUUUAUUAUCCUUUUAGAUGGCAGAAUGCAUGCGGAAACCUCCACAUUAUGCCAUGACUAUGACAAAGCUAAGAGGGUGUGAGCAGGUAAAGAUAUUCCUGCCAAGAAUUUGAUGUAUGGAGGGAAUGGGUGACCCAUUGGAUACAUAUAAAUCUGGGAAUGGAGACUUGAAAGUCCCUAAUGUUGGCUCUGUCACUGGCAUAAGGCCUGAGAUGAACAUCUCUGCUCUCAGCCUUAAGGGGGGGCGGGGGGGCAUGUCACGAGGAGGCCAGACCUGAACACUGUCAACAGCGCCAGGCUCUGAAUCUUUGUUGAUUCUAUUUCUGGGCUGCUCCCACACAAGCCAGCACACAUCUAUUAGUUGGCCAUAUGGAGUUGGGCCUAAAACCAUGGGUUCUGGAUACUUGGAUUCAAAUCCAAAGUUAUUCCCUAGCUAACUUUGCCAAGGCUUGUGGGACUCAGUUUCUUCCUCCAUAAAGUGAAGAUUAGUAUAAAUACCUAUUCCACUGAGUUGUAAGGAUUAAAUAAACUACUGUGUGUAAAAUGUUUCGAAUAAAGUGUGGCAAAGAGUUUGUGUUCAAUGAAAGGUAGCUUCUGUCAUUCUCCUCCCCUUCUUCUUCUUCAUCACCAUCAUCAUCACCAUUUAAUAGUUAUAAAAAGAACAACUACCUUAAACUAUUGAAUAUUUUAUGUAUGUAUGCGUUGCAUAUCUCUCGGAUCAUUUACUUGCCAUAAUCCUUUUGGGAGAGACAUUAUUUCCCCCAUUUUGCAGAGAAUGGGAAUGAGGCUCAGAGAGGCCACACUGCUUACAAAAGUUCAUGUUGCUUGUGAGCUCUGAGCUGGGAUGCGGACAUAUUUUUACCUAUCUUUCCACCCUGUUCUUUUAAACCCUCUGUGCAUUAGUCAGGAUAGGCAGGCUCUGCUGCAGUGAUAAGCAAAUCCUAAUUUCAGUUGAUCAAAGUAACAGAGGCUUAACUAACCUCCAUGUCCACUGAGAGUUAGGUGUGGGCUCUGCUCCUCCUCAUUAUCAUUCUUUCCCUAAGAUCUAGGUUGAUGAAGUCACUAUUAUCUGGAAAUUGCUGGUCACAUGGAGAAGGCAAUCAACAUGGAUAAGCAUAUCAUAACUCUUAAAGCUUUUGCCUAGAAUUAGCUGAAGUGACACAUAGCACUUUCAGUCAUACUUCAUUAGCCAAAGCAAGUCACAUCGCCAAAAGCAAUGUCAUGUAUCGGGGAAAUAGAGUCCUACUAUGUGCCAAGAAGGAGAGGAGACAGAGUAUUUAGACACAGCUUCAGUGACCACUUCCUACUAUCAUAUAUCUGAGUCAUAAAUAGAUUAGACAGCAAGUAUAGAAGAUGUGGAGUUUUUACCAGAAAUUUCAGGGACCAUCUUGAUUGUAGAACAAGAAGAGUCAAGGUCAAGGAAGACAUUUUGAAGGGACCCAAUGAGAAAGGGAGUAUAACUCACAGCCUGCAUUAAGAAACCAGAAAUUCAAGAAGUGACAUCUAAGGAUCCCAGUUAUUCUCUUGGACACAAAGGGGUCCAAAAGUGUGAUACUAAUGGGCAAUGAAUGAACUUUGGGUCCAGACAAGCAAGGUACAAUGCCUGAAGGAUCCAAAAUGACUCUCUUUCUCUGAUCUUCUGUGGCAUCUUUCAGCACAUCUGUGCUCUUGCAUGAUCUAGACUUCAAAGAAUGCAUAGAACUGAGAGCCCGUGGAGGUCUACAAACACUCUGGGACUCAUAAAUGGCCAAUAAACGCUUUGAAUGGAAAAAAAGGAGGUGGAGAGAGACAGUGUAUUAGAGGAAGGAAAAGUCAUGGAAGUGGGGCGCCUGGGUGGCUCAGUUGAUUAAGUGUAGGACUUUGAGGUCAAGAUCUCAGGGUUCAUGAUGCCGAGCCUUGUGUCGGGCUCUGUGCUGACAGCUCAGGGCCUGGAGCCUGCUUUGGAUUCUGUGUCUCCCUCUCUCUCUGCCCCUCCCCCACGAACGCUCUGUCUCUCUUUCUCUCAAAAAUAAGUAAACAUUAAAAAUUAAGAAAACAAAAAGUCAUGGAAGAGAAACUGACCAUGAGGCUGAGUGAGAGGUAGUAAGAGUUUGGUGUAUAUUUUUAACAAACAGAAACUGAGCUCCUGCAGUGCGAACAGCAUUGUGCCUCUUAUAAAUUUAGAUACGUGGAAUCCUACAUCUGUCCUUUUGUGACUGGCUUAUUUCACUUAGCAUGUCCUCAAGUUUCAUCCAUAUCACAGCAUAUGUCAGAAUUCCCUUCCUUUUCAAGGCUGAGUAAUAUUCCAUUUCAUGGAUACAGCACAUUUUAUCCAUUCAUCCAUUGUUGGACACUUGUGUUGUUUCCCUAUCUUGCUAUUAUGAAUAAUGCUGUAGAAUACUUAUCCCUUCUGUGUGUCAAUGGAUCAUUUAGUAAAGAUGAUAUCGCACUCAGCCACUAACAACAUUUUUUUAAGGGGCACCUGGUGGCUCAGUUGGUUAAGUGUUAGACUUCAGCUCAGGUCAUGAUCUCACAGUUUGUGGGUUCGAGCCCCUCACUGGGCUCUGUGCUGACAGCUCAGAGCCUGGAGCCUCCUUCGGAUCCUGUGUCUCCCUCUCUCUCUGCCCUUCCCCCCACUUGUAUGCAUUCUCUCUGUCUCUAAAAUGAACAUUAAAAAAAAUUUUUUUAAAGAUUAAAAUUUUUUUAAAACCUCAAAAAUUGAAAUUUCCUAAGCCACAUUAUUAUGUAAGUUGGAAAUAAAUGAUUAAAAUAGUGUAAAUACUCACAAAUUAAGAAAUACUCUCAUAAAAAAAUUCUACAGCCUAGAGAAUAUAUGCAAAAAAGCAUAGGGGUGCCUGGGUGGCUCAGUCAAACAUCUGACUUCGGCUCAGGUCAUGAUCUUGCAGUCCAUGAGUUCGAGCCCCGCGUUGAGCUCUGUGCUGAUAACUCAGAGCCUGGAGCCUGCUUCAGAUUCUGUGUCUCCCUCUCUCUGCCUCUCUCUCUCUCUCUCUCUCUCUCUC